rnacentral:misc_RNA from 1 species
GUAAUAGGGUUGUGUCAUCUGGUUAGCUUGUGGAUGUUGCAGAUGUUGCGGAGGCGUCGACAUACCCAUAUUUUGCAUGCCGGGGAUCUGCGGAGGCGUCGGCAUACCCAUAUUUUGCAUGCCAGGGAUCUGCGGAGGCAUUGGCAUACCCAACUGAUGGUUUGGAUUAACAUGGCUAUUCAUGUUAGACAUUUGACCACUUGUUAUUGGCUGGAUGUACAUACCUAUACCUACAACCUCGUUCCCCAUUGAUUGAGGUCCUUGGGGAUGUCCACCGAGUCCGUGUGAGACGAUAACCUGAGUAGUAACCUGCAUUGGGUGAGGGUAAUGAGAGCCUGAUACUGGGCUACCAUCAUCAGAAGACUGAGCUUCCCAGGGUGGAGGCGGCAAUGAACCAGUUUGCGAACCAUAGCCAGGUGAAUGGGGUUGCUGUUGCUGCUGAGGAGAAGUUUGACCAUUCCAUGCAGAACCUGGGCCCUGCAUGUAUAUCGAUUGCUCAUAAUUAGGCGAAC